CCCUUAGAUGUCCUGGGCUGCACGCGCGCUACACUGAUGUGUCCAGUAAGCACCUAACCUCUUCCGAAAGGAACGGGUAACCUUUGCAAAGCACAUCGUGAUGGGGAUAGAUUAUUGCAAUUAUUAGUCUUGAACGAGGAAUUCCUAGUAAGCACAAGUCAUCAACUUGCAUUGAUUACGUCCCUGCCCUUUGUACACACCGCCCGUCGCUCCUACCGAUGGAACGAUCCGGUGAAAACUCUGGAUUGGAGGGUUUGGUUGUUGCUUUGCAACACUACCCUUCGAGAAAUUGUUUGAAUCUUAUCGUUUAGAGGAAGGAGAAGUCGUAACA
rnacentral:rRNA from 1 species